AAGGAUUUAAGUUAAUGAAACUAGAAGCCUUCAAAGCUUCCAUUAAAUUUUAAAUUUAAGCCUUA
rnacentral:tRNA from 1 species